UACGUAGGGGGGCUAGCGUUGUCCGGAAUCAUUGGGCGUAAAGAGCGUGUAGGCGGUCCGGUAAGUCCGCUGUGAAAGUCGGGGGGCUCAACCCUCGAAUGCCGGUGGAUACUGUCGGGCUAGAGUGCGGAAGAGGCGAGUGGAAUUCCUGGUGUAGCGGUGAAAUGCGCAGAUAUCAGGAGGAACACCGGUGGCGAAGGCGGGUCUCUGGGCCGAUACUGACGCUGGAGGAGCGAAAAGCCGUGGGGAGCGAACAGG
rnacentral:rRNA from 1 species